UACGUAGGGCGCAAGCGUUGUCCGGAAUUAUUGGGCGUAAAGAGCUCGUAGGCGGCCUGUUGCGUCCGCUGUGAAAUCCCGGGGCUCAACCCCGGGCGUGCAGUGGAUACGGGCUGGCUGGAGGCAGGCAGGGGAGAACGGAAUUCCUGGUGUAGCGGUGAAAUGCGCAGAUAAUCAGGAAGAACACCCGUGGCUAAGGCGGCUCUCUAGUACGGUACUGACGCUGAGACGCGAAAGCGUGGGGAGCGAACAGG
rnacentral:rRNA from 1 species